UAGUCAUAUGCUUGUCUCAAAGAUUAAGCCAUGCAUGUCUAAGCACAAGCCGAUAAUGGUGAAGCCGCGAAUGGCUCAUUACAACAGCCAUAGUUUCUUAGAUCUUACUUUUCUACUUGGAUAACUGUGGUAAUUCUAGAGCUAAUACACGCAAACAAGCUCAGACCUUACGGAAUGAGCGCAUUUAUUAGAACAAAAACCAAUCGGACUUUCGGGUCCGUCAUUUGGUGAAUCUGAAUAACUUUGCUGAUCGCACGGUCAUCGUACCGGCGACAUAUCUUUCAAAUGUCUGCCUUAUCAACUUUCGAUGGUAGUUUAUGCGCCUACCAUGGUUGUAACGGGUAACGGAGAAUAAGGGUUCGACUCCGGAGAGGGAGCCUGAGAAACGGCUACCACAUCCAAGGAAGGCAGCAGGCACGCAAAUUACCCACUCCCGGCACGGGGAGGUAGUGACGAAAAAUAACGAGACGGCUCGCUAUGCGGUCCGUCAUCGGAAUGGGUACAAUUUAAAUCCUUUAACGAGGAUCUAUU
rnacentral:rRNA from 1 species